rnacentral:misc_RNA from 1 species
AAUAGAGAAAGAAUAAUACAAAUUUCCUCGGGACCCUGAGCCGCCAUUCCAAGGAGGUGCCUUUUGGGAUGCGAAUCUGUGGCUUGUUAAUUGUUGCAGUCUCAGCAUAAUUCCGUGAAGAUACAACUGUUCCACUGAGGAGUAAAUUAUUCAAUAUGUCAUCACGUCCACAUGGCCGGGGGAUGCGGGGCGGCCACCACCAGCAUCAGCAUCAGCACCAGCACCAGCACCAGCAUCAUGGGUAUGGGCACCGGGGUGGCCAGUGGAUGCACAAGGGAGGCAAUCGAGGGAAUAGGUCUGAUUACCACCACCAGCACAACCAUGGUGGUGGGCGCUCCCCACGGCCUGGCAUGCGACAUGCUGACCCAGAGAAGCUGCUGGCAUCGCUGGGACCUGAUGCCCAGCUUGCACUCACAACGGCCAUCAUUAACUCUGUCCUAAAGACCUCAGAAGACAAGGAUCCUCGUGGAGGUUUCCGAGACAACAGGGAACCAAACUACCGCAACAGGGAUAACCGUCGUGAGGGACGAGGAGGUUACUACAAGGAGGAGAUGCGACCACGCAGGCCUUAUGGAGAGCCCCGCAGAUAUGAUAGCAGGUGGCACAACGAGGAGGGGCGCGGCCAUCACUUUGAGCGAGAGAAAGUCAACGCCGGCCCCCCUCGCCACCAGUAUGGCAACAGAUACCCUCCUGGCACUACCAAGAGGAGGUUGUCACCCCAAAUGCACCCAGGCCCCACUUACAAACGACAGAGAAUGGACAAAGUAGAUCCCAAUGGUGGGGAACGAGAUUCUCACCGUGACCUUGAGUUGAUGGAAGAUGAUGGCCUGGAGGGCAUGGAACACCCGAGGGAGAGAGAGCGCCACACUUCUGGCUUAGAGGAGGAGCGAGGUCACCGGAACAUGGCUGAAGGCAUGGAAGGCGAGUCAGGACCCAGUGGAGUGCAGGUGACCAUAAGAGCUGACGGGGAGCGGGCGGUGAACAGUGACGGCCAUGUGAGGCGAGUGGCUGGCAGACUGUUUGUGGAGCUCAGGUGCCCGCACUGUCCCAACCAGAAGUCCAUCACUUUCAAGGAAUACAAGAUGCACUUGAUAAGUGACUACCACAAGUCACGGCUUCAGAGACUUGCAAGGAAGCACACUGUUGUUCUGCGCAAGAUACGUGUACAGCAGAGGCAGGAGCAGAGGGACAUUGAAAACAAGUGGAGGGAGGAGAACCCUGAAGAAUUUAACACUGUAGUGUCCAGGUUCUGCAAUGCAUGCAAACUGGCAUUCAAGUGUUUGGGCAGCAACACCAGUGAAGGCAUCAACCAACACAACAGGAGCAAGUUACACAGGAUGCAGCGCCACUACCUACACCCUCGCUGUGGAUUGUGUCGCAUCACCUUCCCAACUCGAAUGGAGUAUGAGCGUCACGUGGCUUCCAUCAACCACCUGAGGGUGCGCACUGCUACUAUUGACCAGGGAGGCAACAGGCGCCCCGAUGAACGUGCACAGGAAGAGGAGGGUGGCGACCUUGAUCUUGCCAACUUCAUGACCUUGGAUUCUGUUGGAGAAGAUGGUGAGGGCACUGCUUCAGAUGAGGAGGGUGGAGGCUCGGAGCACGAGGAGAUCACGGGAGGCGUGGAUGCAGCAGAACCCCAGGACAAGGAGGUGACAGGAGCUGAAGAUGAUGACCUUGAUAGCAUUUCAGGGCAGAGCAAUGCUGAGAAAUCAACUCCCACUAGGAGGGGAAAGGAAACCAAGGAGAUAGGGAACAAGUCAGCACACAGAGAAGAUGAGGAGGAGGAGGAUGAGGAUAUGCUGGAGACAGAGUGGGACAAGGAACAGCAUGAAGAUGAAGAAGAGGAAGGUCACCAACCAUUGGGAACAGAGUAUGUGCGUCGUAUUGAGGCAUAUUACUGCAGCUUGUGCUACAAAAUCAUCCGGGCAGACUCUUCAUUGGGAUCUCGUGCUGUUCAGCGCCACUGCCGCUCCUUCAGUCACCUCUCCCACUACAGGGACCAUCACCCUAAUCUUCCCCAAGAUGAAGAGGGUGCAAGUGGGGAAGAUGGAGAGGGUGAAGUUGAUCUAGAGGAGGAACCUGACCAAGACAAGUUGUGGGAGGAGGUUGACAAAGGUCUCACUGCUCUCCAAGGUGAAAUCAUGACUGAAAUGGAGCAUAAGGAAGAGGUUGAAGGAAAUAAGGAGGUAGAGGAAGAGAAAAAGGAAGAUGAGAAUGAUGAUAAUGAAAAAGCAGAUCUAGAAAGCUCCAAACAGGAACUUGAUGAAGAUGAAGAUGAUGAUAUCAGUAGCAUCAAAAAGGAAGAGGUGUAACCAGAAGCUGGGUACAGGACAUUGCCAUGUAGAGAAGAAGUUACCUUGUAGAGGCACAUGUGGAUGGGGUGGGGGACACUAACAGAGACGCAAAAAAUGGUGAAGAUUGGGAGGAGGUAGGGGAAGACUUUUCAGUCUAAAUUCUCUCUCUCUCUCUCUCUCUCUCUCUCUCUCUCUCUCUCUCUCUCUCUCUCUCUCUCUCUCUCUCUCUCUCUCUCUCU